UCUCAGUGAUCUGAAUGCCUGCCCACUUCCAGGCCAUGGUACCAACCCGACCACCAGCGGUUCCCCCGAUGU
rnacentral:sRNA from 1 species